GAUAGCUAAUACCGGAUAACAACAGAUGAUGCCUAUCAACUGUUUAAAAGAUGGUUCUGCUAUCACUCUUGGAUGGACCUGCGGUGCAUUAGCUAGUUGGUAGGGUAACGGCCUACCAAGGCGAUGAUGCAUAGCCGAGUUGAGAGACUGAUCGGCCACAUUGGGACUGAGACACGGCCCAAACUCCUACGGGAGGCAGCAGAG
rnacentral:rRNA from 1 species